rnacentral:rRNA from 1 species
AGAGUUUGAUCAUGGCUCAGGAUGAACGCUUAGCGGCAGGCCUAAUACAUGCAAGUCGAACGGUAAGGCCCUUUCGGGGUACACGAGUGGCGGACGGGUGCGUAACGCGUAUGCAACAUACCUUCAAGCGGGGAUAUGCCAGGGAAACUUGGUGCAACACCCCAUAGCAUUUCGGGACCGCAUGGUCUUGGGAUUAAAUAUUUAUAGCUUGGAGAUUGGCAUGCGUGACAUUAGCUAGUUGGCGGGUAACGGCCCACCAAGGCGACGAUGUCUAGCUGGUCUGAGGGGAUGAUCAGCCACACUGGGACUGAGACACGGCCCAGACUCCUACGGGAGGCAGCAGUAGGGAAUAUUGGACAAUGGGGGAACCCUGAUCCAGCCAUGCCGCGUGAGGGAAGAAGGUCCUCUGGAUUGUAAACCUCUUUUGGCGGGGGACAAACCUGCACUAUACGUGCAGCUGAGGGUACCCGCAGAAUAAGCACCGGCUAACUCCGUG